rnacentral:rRNA from 1 species
UACGGAGGGGGCAAGCGUUGUUCGGAGUUACUGGGCGUAAAGCGCGCGCAGGUGGUUUCUUAAGUCUGAUGUGAAAGCCCACGGCUCAACCGUGGAGGGUCAUUGGAAACUGGGAGACUUGAGUGCAGAAGAGGAAAGUGGAAUUCCAUGUGUAGCGGUGAAAUGCGUAGAGAUAUGGAGGAACACCAGUGGCGAAGGCGACUUUCUGGUCUGUAACUGACACUGAGGCGCGAAAGCGUGGGGAGCAAACAGG